GCUACAGCCAUACCACCCCGAGAACGUCUGAACUCGGAAGCUAAGCUGGGUCAGGCCUGGUUAGUACUUGGAUGGGAGACCACCUGGGAAUACCAGGUGCUGUAAGCU
ensembl:rRNA 5S_rRNA 5S ribosomal RNA